AUGGAAGAGAAUAACAAAGAGACUGAUGGAAGAAUAAGAAUGGUGUGAGAUUAAGAGACUUUGGGUGAGAGAUUGAGAGAUUAGAGAGAUUGAGAGAUUAGGUAACCAGAGAAUAGAGAUUGGGAGAUUCAAAGUAACCAAAGACUAUGAAGGAGAAGGGGAAAUCCCCCUAACUCUCUUAAGAGUUACAAAUCGCCAUAUACAUCUGUUUAUAUAGACUUUUACAAUCUGAGACAUCAUAAACCUAUAUCUAAUGGCUGUAAAUAACUUAAGAGGAAUGGAUGGUGUAGAUGAGCUAGUCUUGUUGCAAUCUGUGUAGUUGAAUCUGAUUGGCUGAAGCAGCUGGCGCCUAUCUUUAAUUCAAACCAGGGCUGUGCUGUGAUUGGCUCUCCUUAAGCUCCUCCUAAUCUGUCCACAGAUCAGUCUAGGUUCAUGGUCGUGGCUCCCCUUGCCUUUACAGUCAAAGCCAGCCUGUCCCAUGACCAAACUCUCCAAUCAUAUCACAGCACCUUAUCUUCUUUGUCUUCUUCUCUUAAGAGCUUCUUUUGUCUUCUUCUCUUAAGAGCUUGUUUUGUCUUCUUCUCUUAAGAGCUGACCUAUGCCCUAUUUUUGCACAAACUUCAUAACUUCUGAAAUGAUCGAGUUAUGAGCUUUCGGGUCGGGACAGGUCCGUACGGAUCCGUACGGUCCGUACACGUCCGUACCAAAUCCGUACGGCCUCGCCCUAAGUUUGCACACUCGACCACCUGCUCCCAAAGAUACUCCUAAGCCUCUCCUGACUUGGCCCUAUCUUUGCACAACCAUCAGAUCACUUCUGGACACUCUCAGACCCUCCUGAAGCCUUGGUAGACAAUCCCUGAAGGACUUGCCCUAUCUUUGCACAAGCACCAACUCAACUCAUCACCUUUGCUUCUCCACUUCUUCUCUUCAAGUUAACACUCCCCCUCAAGCUUGACCUUAGCUGAUCCUAAGUCAAGCUUGGAACCUUGAAGAAUCCCCUCAUUAAAAACCUUACAAGGAAAACCCUUUGGGACAAAACCUUGUAAGGGAAAAAGAGUAGGUUCAUCAAGGCCUGGGGAUUGGCCAGUGAGCCCUUGUGCCUUAGAACCAGUGUGGUUGGACACAAGAAGCUCUGGAUCACGGCCUAAUAGGUGCAACAACUCUUCACAGCUUUGCACACACUUCACACUUCAGCUUCACCUCUUCAUGGAACUGGUUUGAAGUCUCCCCCUCUCAACUGACUUCUCAGCCAUCUUAGAGAAGCUAGGACAUGACCAUAGUAUCUUCAAACACCAGUGAGCCUUAUCAACACUUCACACACGGCUUGCCCUCCUCAUAGACCUGGUUUGGAUCUCCCCCUCUCAACAAACUUCACAGCCACCUUAGAGAAGCUAGGAAAUGACCAGGAACACCUUUAGUGAGGCUCAAGCAAUGGUACCUAGACACGCCACUGACUUGGUCCGGUUGAUGAUCCUUGUAGAAGCCUUUGCAAAGACUUGUUACUGACCAUGGAUCAUAUGCAUUAAGACUCCCCCUCAAGCUUAGAACCGAGACUAGAAGGAGCUAAGCUUGUGAUGAUCCUAUGCAUCUCCAUGGUCUAAUAACUAUCAUCUUUCAUGAUAGAUUUCUUCUUGUGAGUUUACUCUCUUCCUUAACCAGGAACUAGGGUGUUUGAAUCACCAUAGAGAGUCUCACAAGACACACCUCUCAUUGCAUAAUGACCCAUGCUACACUUCCUGUAGACUAAGGACUAGAUAUGUCCAAUGGUAUUAUGCAAUGGCCAUCUCUCAUUGCAUACUCAAUCACACUACACUUCCUGUAGACUAAGGACUAGAUAUGUCCAAUGGUAUUAUGCAAUGGCCAUCUCUCAUUGCAUACUCAAUCACACUACACUUCCUGUAGAUUAUGGACUAACAUGUCCUGGUGAUGAUAUGCAAUGGCACAAGACCUUUGUCUUUACAUUCUUGGUUGUUGGCGAGUUACAUGUAUCACACUCCUUGUGUACCUAACACCACCACAACUCAAUGCAAGAUCAGAUAAUCCCAUUGGGAUCAAACUAAGAUCAUCCAUCCUGUUUGAUCACCAAUGCCACAACAAUAUAUAAAUCUUGAAACAAGCCAAUCAAUCAAAGCAAGAACAAUCAGUUUUAAAUCUCUAAAAUGACAAUGCAAGCUUUAAACAAUACAUUGACAAUUUAGGCUCAUUUUUAAAUGCAUCAAUACAUGAAUGCACAGUCUUAAAGCAUUAACUACAUGAAUGCAUCAGGUUCAAUCCGAGAGCAAUAUUAAAGCUAUGCACAACAGUUCCAAUCAAUACUAAUGAUGCAAGCAACUUAGACAGUUUCUAAUUGAUGCAAGACAAUCAAUGAUGGAUUAAACAUAGGCAAUAGCAUCAGACAACAAUAGGAUUGAACUUAGACAGUAUGAGACAUGCUUAUGUAUGCAAAACAGCUUAUCAAUCAUGAUGCAAGCAGCAGAGACAUUCUACUCAAUUCUACAACACAUUCAUGAUGAUUUCAAGCUAUGGCAAUACACAAGACAAUGCAAUGAACAGAACAUGAGAUUUUGGGACUCUAGACAUUACUUAAUAUCAAUAAGACAAUGCAGUAGCAAACUAUUUCCAGUGCAAUUAGCCUAGACCUUCUACUAGAAGACAUAUUAAAAAUAGAUGAGACUAGGUUUACUCCCUUGUUUAAGAUGGUGAGGAGUGGUCUCUUCAUUUCGCCACUUGAGUCCUCACUUGCUACGCUUAACAGCUUCUCCUUUCAUCACACAAGCUCACUAACACUCCUUCUCAAGCUUGAGACCGAGUAUAGGGAAGGUCCAAGCUUGAAGGUGAGCGCUUACUAAGCUUCAUGAACAACCUUGUGGGAACACCUCCAUCUUCUUCAGACUUGAUGCUUACUUCCCCACUUAACCACCAUUGCACUGAGGAGAUACCUCAGCUUACUCUCCAAGUACUUCUUAUUAGAAGCUCAUUGAGUGGCUUUCUUCUUCCCUCUACUUCGGCUGCAUCUACACAUGAUCAGCUUGCAAUGGCCUUGAGGAACCAGGUCAUUGAGCUUAGAGGAUCUUCUGGUAGCUCACUUGAGUCCACACCUCAAGCUUGACUUAGUAUAGGUGCAAGCUUGAAGUGAGUCUCAAUGAGACUUCAAACCGGGAGCGCAUCACUACCUACAGCUGCGCUUAACCCAACCGAUCUGCCAUUGCCUUCAGCUCCAAUGCCUUCAGGUCAUCAGUCUCCCCAAGACUUAGAUGAUGACCUUUACUUGUGUGUCUCCAUGAACCAGGAGCUCAUCACUAUUACUAGCUGCGCUAUCUCAACCGGCCAUACACACAAGUCUUUCUCCAUUGCUUUAACAAUGGCAAGGUCUUCCUCUUCUACUUGGAUGGAUGGUGAGCAAAGAACGCUUCUUGUGAACCUGAAACACCACUCAAACUCCAGCAAAGAUAAGACACAAUUGCAUUGGGAUCAAUCCUUGACUUCAUCAAGUUUGAUCACCAAUGUCUCAAGCUUUAUAACAUUAAAUAGAAUCAAGACACUGUCAAGUUCUUAUCUAUGCAAGCAACCAUUCUCUAAAUACUAAGCAAGACCUUAUCAGAUUCAAGUCAAAUUAUUAGGCAAUUUUAAUCACUCCUUAAUAUGCUACUUAGACUUUAAUCUAAAUGCAACAAUACAAGGCAGCAACAAGGCAGUAUGCAUUAAUCUUAACCAGUUUCUACUCAUAACAGCAAGUAUGAUUAGAUAAUAUAAUCUAUCAUCUUAACAAGACAAGUUUCAUUUAGAACUGAAGAAACCGUAACAAGGUAGAAGUUACCUUAAGGGCUUAGUGAAGGGAUAAGACUGGUAGGAGGAUAAGGGACGCGCGUGCCAGGCUGGAACAGGCUGGAAAGUAGUCCAAGAUGCCAUAAGCAUGUGAGCCAUCCUGGCCAAUCAUUCAAAAGGCUCCCAUUGACUCCACACGGUUAAACAGUGGCGAUUUCCCUUCUUGUAAACCCUUGUGUCUCCCUUAUAAAUAUGUAACCUCACUCAUUAAUAAAUUAAGCAAGUUUUGAGACUCUCUCUUAGUCUUUAAAUCUCAAUGGUUCCAUAUUAGACUCCUAAUCUCAUUCCAUACUCUAAUCUUCACCAAAUCGUUUCUAGUCUUUCCUAAACACUCAGAUUACUCUAAACAUUACUAAAAAUCAUAAUAGGAGUUGGCAUGAAGAAGUUAUCUAUAAUAUUUAGAGAUCCUUAGAGUGAUUAGAAUAUAAGUGAGAGUUUAAGUAGAGAUUAGAAGAGAUUGUGAACGAUUAAGAGACUUGAGAGCCGAUUAGUGUCUAAGAGAGAAUCAUUGUGACUUAAGAGAUUAGAGAGACUCAGAACUGCUUAAUCUUAUUGCUGAGUGAGGUUACAUAUUUAUAAGAGAGACAUAAGGGUUUACAAGAGAAGAAAGGAGCACUAUUGAAGCAUGUGGAGUCAAGGGUCGCUUUUGAAUGGACGGAUGGGAAGCCUUACAUGCUUUGGCUCUUUACAGCCUGUCACAGCCUGUCUUGCUCUUCCCUUAUCCACUCAACGGUCUGAUCCUCUCCACUUGUGAGAUUUUCAGAGCACAGGUUGUGUGGGCGUGGUGAAUCAACCUCCACAGGUUGGGACUGAGUCUUGUUCAACAAUGGAAGAGAAUAACAAAGAGACUGAUGGAAGAAUAAGAAUGGUGUGAGAUUAAGAGACUUUGGGUGAGAGACUGAGAGAUUAGAGAGAUUGAGAGAUUAGGUAACCAGAGAAUAGAGAUUGGGAGAUUCAAAGUAACCAAAGACUAUGAAGGAGAAGGGGAAAUCCCCCUAACUCUCUUAAGAGUUACAAAUCGCCAUAUACAUCUGUUUAUAUAGACUUUUACAAUCUGAGACAUCAUAAACCUAUAUCUAAUGGCUGUAAAUAACUUAAGAGGAAUGGAUGGUGUAGAUGAGCUGGUCUUGUUGCAAUCUGUGUAGUUGAAUCUGAUUGGCUGAAGCAGCUGGCGCCUAUCUUUAAUUCAAACCAGGGCUGUGCUGUGAUUGGCUUUCCUUAAGCUCCUCCUAAUCUGUCCACAGAUCAGUCUAGGUUCAUGGUCGUGGCUCCCCUUGCCUUUACAGUCAAAGCCAGCCUGUCCCAUGACCAAACUCUCCAAUCAUAUCACAGCACCUUAUCUUCUUUGUCUUCUUCUCUUAAGAGCUUCUUUUGUCUUCUUCUCUUAAGAGCUUGUUUUGUCUUCUUCUCUUAAGAGCUGACCUAUGCCCUAUUUUUGCACAAACUUCAUAACUUCUGAAAUGAUCGAGUUAUGAGCUUUCGGGUCGGGACAGGUCCGUACGGAUCCGUACGGUCCGUACACGUCCGUACCAAAUCCGUACGGCCUCGCCCUAAGUUUGCACACUCGACCACCUGCUCCCAAAGAUACUCCUAAGCCUCUCCUGACUUGGCCCUAUCUUUGCACAACCAUUAGAUCACUUCUGGACACUCUCAGACCCUCCUGAAGCCUUAGUAGACAAUCCCUGAAGGACUUGCCCUAUCUUUGCACAAGCACCAACUCAACUCAUCACCUUUGCUUCUCCACUUCU
rnacentral:lncRNA from 1 species